GAUGAACGCUGGCGGCGUGCCUAAUACAUGCGAGUCGAGCGAACAGACGAGGAGCUUGCUCCUCUGACGUUAGCGGCGGACGGGUGAGUAACACGUGGAUAACCUACCUAUAAGACUGGGAUAACUUCGGGAAACCGGAGCUAAUACCGGAUAAUAUAUUGAACCGCAUGGUUCAAUAGUGAAAGACGGUUUUGCUGUCACUUAUAGAUGGAUCCGCGCCGCAUUAGCUAGUUGGUAAGGUAACGGCUUACAAAGGCAACGAUGCGUAGCCGACCUGAGAGGGUGAUCGGCCACACUGGAACUGAGACACGGUCCAGACUCCUACGGGAGGCAGCAGUAGGGAAUCUUCCGCAAUGGGCGAAAGCUUGACGGAGCAACGCCGCGUGAGUGAUGAAGGUCUUCGGAUCGUAAAACUCUGUUAUUAGGGAAGAACAAAUGUGUAAGUAACUAUGCACGUCUUGACGGUACCUAAUCAGAAAGCCACGGCUAACUACGUG
rnacentral:rRNA from 1 species